UAUCGCCCCAUUUUUUUGAGCUCCAUUUUCAGCACUAACGGCCCUAUUUCCAGAGCUCCAUUUUCAGAGCUCUGACCCCAUUUUCAGCACUUAUGGCCCCAUUUUCUGAGCUCAGAGCCCCAUUUUCAGAGCUCCUGGCCCCAUUUUCAGCACUUAUGGUCCCAUUUUCAGCACUCUGAGCCCCAUUUUCAGCACUUCUGGCCCCAUUUUCAGAGCUCUGACUCCCAUUUUUAGAUCUUGCCCAAAAUUCAGAGUUCCUGGCCCCCAUUUUCAGCACUUAUUUCCCCAUUUUCAGCACUCUGACUCCCAUUUUCAGCACUUAAGCCCCAUUUUCAGCACUUGUGGCCCCAUUUAUAGAGCUCUGACCCCCAUUUUUAGAUCUUGCCCCAAAUUCAGAUUUCCUGUCCCCAUUUUCAGCAUUUGUGUCCCCAUUUUCAGAGCUCUGACCCCCAUUUUCGGUGCUUAUGGCCCCAUUUUCAGCAUUUUUGCCACCAUUUUCAGAGCUCUGAGCCCCAUUUUCAGCACUUGUGGCCCCAUUUUCAGAGCUCUGACCCUCAUUUUUAGAUCUUGCCCCAAAAUUCAGAGUUCCUGGCCCCAUUUUCAGCACUUGUGGCCCCAUUUUCAGAGCUCUGACCCCCAUCUUCAGAGCUCAGAGCCCCAAUUUCAGGCCUUGUGGAGCUCAGAGCCCCAUUUUCAGCACUUAUGGCCCCAUUUUCAGAGCUCUGACCCCCAUUUUCAGAUCUUGCCCAAAAAUCUAGAGUUCCAGUCCCCAUUUUCAGCAAUUGUGGCCCCAUUUUCAGAGCUCUGACCCCCAUUUUCAGCACUUAUGGCCCCAUUUUCAGCGCUUGUGGACCCAUUUUCAGAGAUCAUUGCCCCAUUUUCAGAACUCAGAGACCCAUUUUCAGAGCUCAGAGCCCUAUUUUCAACACUUGGAGCCCCAUUUUCAGACUUUGUGAUCCCAUUUUCAGCGCUCAGAGCCAAAUUUUCAGAGCGUACGACCCCAUUUUCAGUUUGCUGCCCCACCUUCAGAGCGUAUGGCCCCAUUUUCGGCACUCAGAGCCCUGAUUUCAUUGUCCAGAGCCCCAAUUUCAGAGGUUGUGGCCCCAUUUUCGAUGCUUAUAUCCCUAUUUUGGAGCUCAGAGCCCCAU
rnacentral:lncRNA from 1 species